AUUACAGAUAUUUUGUUUGCCAAAACCCAGAUUUGAGUUAUGUUGGCCAAGGUAGGGUGGUUCGUCAGAAAGUUAUUUUGCUCUGAAUCAGAAUGCUUGUCUCGUCGGAAUCAAGUGGCUAGUGAGUCGGUGCAUGGUAAGAACUUGGCUGCUAAAUGGGUUGUUUGUGAAACUUGUGUAGAGGAAAAUAAAGCCUGUAACUGUCAUAGUAGACCGGAAGAUUUAAAGAGCGCUGUUGAUGGAGUGGAAGCUGAGGGUAAUAGUUCUUUUGCUCAUGCUGUCAUCAACAUGAUCGGAAUGCUAAUAGGUCUUGGGCAGUUAUCAACCCCAUAUGCUUUAGAAAAUGGAGGGUGGACUUCUGCAUUCUUGCUUAUUGGGCUAGGAAUAAUAUGUGCAUACAGUUCUCAUCUGCUUGGAAAAUGUCUUGACAAGAAUCCCAAGUCAAGAAGCUACGCAGAUAUUGGACAAGAAUCAUUUGGGAGCAAAGGAAGAGUUUUAGUUUUAACCUUCAUCUACAUGGAAAUUUUCAUGGCCCUCGUAUCCUACACCAUCUCUCUCCAUGAUAACAUUAUAACAGUAUUUUCAGGGACAAGACUUAGUUUGCCAUGGCUCAAAUUAUCAAAAUCUCAGUUGCUAACCAUGAUGGCAGUUCUAAUAGCACUUCCUAGUUUGUGGCUAAGAAAUCUCUCUACCAUAUCUCUUCUUUCAUCUGGGGGUAUCCUAAUGUCACUUGUUAUUUUCACUUCUGUGGCUUUCACUGCUGUCUUUGGAGGUCUGAAAGCUAAUCAUAGAAUACCAGUGCUUAGGCUCCAAAAGAUUCCAGCCAUAUCUGGCCUCUAUAUCUUCAGUUAUGCUGGCCAUAUUGUUUUCCCCAACUUGUACAAAUCCAUGAAGGAUCCAUCCAAGUUUACCAAGGCAUCUAUAGUGAGCUUUGCAUCGGUAACCACACUUUAUACAGCUCUAGCAUUUAUGGGUGCAAAACUCUUUGGCCCAGAAGUCAGUUCUCAGAUAACUCUCAGCAUGCCUCGACAGCUUAUCGUCACAAAGAUUGCUCUAUGGGCUACAGUCCUAACACCCAUGACAAAAUAUGCCCUCGAAUUUGCACCAUUCGCCAUCCAGCUUGAGCACAGUCUCCCCGAUUCUUUGAGUCCUAGGAUGAAGGUGGUCGUACGAGGAGUUGUGGGUUCAAUUUUGCUAAUUGUGAUCCUAGCCCUGGCACUCUCCGUGCCAUAUUUCGAGCAUGUUCUUGGCCUUACUGGCUCCCUAGUCAGUGUCAGUAUUUGCAUAGUCUUCCCCUGUGCCUUUUACACCAAGAUUUGUUGGCCUCACAUAUCUAAACCUCUCCUAAUCCUUAAUAUUACGCUUAUUGCAUUUGGCUUUAUUCUUGGAACUGUUGGCACCAUAUCCUCGUCAAGGUUGCUCAUAGCCACUCUAAUAAGAGCUCACUCAACCUGAAGAUGAAGCAAAGUUUCAAGGAUUGUAAUUUACUGGAUUUUUGCACGCCUUCUCCAAUUAUCUUAUACCAUAUAUAUGCAAAAAUAAUGGAGCCUCCUAUUGCUGCCAAUUAAAUUUAACAAGACAUAUUUGAUAAGGAGUUGCUCUUGUUUCAAGUAUAUUGAGGCCUUGCAUGCAUGAUAUUUCUUGUUGUUGUAUUUUGAAAAUGAUGAUUGGACCCCAAAUUAAGUGAAGGGGCAUCUACAAAUUUUCUUGUUAUGAUACAAGUCCACUUUAACAUCUUAUAUAUAAAAUUUUCUGGUUAAGGUUAGCAACUUGUUAUUCCUUCUUAUCAUUAUCAAGUUGUUAUUCAUGUAAAUCAGGAGGCAGAAUACAUAAAUUGAUAUAUGAG
rnacentral:misc_RNA from 1 species